rnacentral:rRNA from 1 species
GACGAACGCUGGCGGCGUGCCUAACACAUGCAAGUCGAGCGAGUGAAUCUCCUUCGGGAGUGAAGCUAGCGGCGGACGGGUGAGUAACACGUGGGCAACCUACCUCAUAGAGGGGAAUAGCCUUUCGAAAGGAAGAUUAAUACCGCAUAAGAUUGUAGCUUCGCAUGAAGUAGCAAUUAAAGGAGCAAUCCGCUAUGAGAUGGGCCCGCGGCGCAUUAGCUAGUUGGUGAGGUAACGGCUCACCAAGGCGACGAUGCGUAGCCGACCUGAGAGGGUGAUCGGCCACAUUGGGACUGAGACACGGCCCAGACUCCUACGGGAGGAAGCAGUGGGGAAUAUUGCACAAUGGGGGAACCCCUGAUGCAGCAACGCCGCGUGAGUGAUGACGGCCUUCGGGUUGUAAAGCUCUGUCUUCAGGGACGAUAAUGACGGUACCUGAGGAGGAAGCCACGGCUAACUACGUGCCAGCCGCCGCAGUAA